rnacentral:rRNA from 1 species
UACGUAGGGUGCAAGCGUUAAUCGGAAUUACUGGGCGUAAAGCGUGCGCAGGCGGUUGUGCAAGACAGGUGUGAAAUCCCCGGGCUUAACCUGGGAACUGCACUUGUGACUGCACAGCUGGAGUACGGCAGAGGGGGAUGGAAUUCCGCGUGUAGCAGUGAAAUGCGUAGAUAUGCGGAGGAACACCGAUGGCGAAGGCAGCCCCCUGGGCCUGUACUGACGCUCAUGCACGAAAGCGUGGGGAGCAAACAGG